rnacentral:tRNA from 1 species
GGGGGCGUAGCUCAGAGGAGGAGCACGUGCUUAGCAUGCACAAGUUCCUGGGUUCAAUCCUCAGUACCUCCA